AGGCCUGGGAUGAAUCCAGCCAGGCUAUAGAACUUGGAGAGUAGAAUCAGGGCAUCUCCACCAUGGCCUGGACUCCUCUUCUUCUUGGCCUCCUUGCUCACUGCACAGGUUCUGUGGCCUCCUAUGUGCUGACUCAGCCCCCAUCUGUGUCAGUGGCUCUGGGAAAGACAGCCCAGGUCACCUGUGGGGGAAACAACAUUGGAAAUAAAUAUGUUCACUGGUACCAGCAGAAGCCGGGCCAGGCUCCUGUGCUGAUCAUCUAUGAAAGCAACAAACGGCCCUCAGGGAUUCCUGAGCGAUUUUCAGGCACCAACUCUGGGAACACGGCCACCCUGACUAUCAGUGGGGCCCGGGCUGAAGACGAGGCUGACUAUUACUGUCAAGUGUGGGAUAGCAAUUCUAAUGCUCACAGUGACACAGACAGAUGGGGAAGUGCCAUGAGGACAGAAACCAUGUUUUCCUAUGACACGUGGAAUGAGGCCCUGUCCACCCAGAUCCUGUGA